rnacentral:rRNA from 1 species
ACGUGCGGUCGAGCGGUUGCAGGGAGCUUGCUACCGGAUUCAGCGGCGGACGGGUGAGUAAUGCUUUCGAUCUGCCUAUUAGUGGGGGACAACGUUCCGAAAGGGGCGCUAAUACCGCAUACGUCCUACGGGAGAAAGCAGGGGACCUUCGGGCCUUGCGCUAAUAGAUGAGCCUAAGUCGGAUUAGCUAGUUGGUAGGGUAAAGGCCUACCAAGGCGACGAUCUGUAGCGGGUCUGAGAGGAUGAUCCGCCACACUGGGACUGAGACACGGCCCAGACCCCUACGGGAGGCAGCAGUGGGGAAUAUUGGACAAUGGGGGGAACCCUGAUCCAGCCAUGCCGCGUGUGUGAAGAAGGCCUUUUGGUUGUAAAGCACUUUAAGCGAGGAGGAGGCUACCUAGAUUAAUACUUUAGGAUAGUGGACGUUACUCGCAGAAUAAGCACCGGCUAACUCUGUGCCAGCAGCCGCGGUAAUACAGAGGGUGCGAGCGUUAAUCGGAUUUACUGGGCGUAAAGCGUGCGUAGGCGGCCAAUUAAGUCAAAUGUGAAAUCCCCGAGCUUAACUUGGGAAUUGCAUUCGAUACUGGUUGGCUAGAGUAUGGGAGAGGAUGGUAGAAUUCCAGGUGUAGCGGUGAAAUGCGUAGAGAUCUGGAGGAAUACCGAUGGCGAAGGCAGCCAUCUGGCCUAAUACUGACGCUGAGGUACGAAAGCAUGGGGAGCAAACAGGAUUAGAUACCCUGGUAGUCCAUGCCGUAAACGAUGUCUACUAGCCGUUGGGGCCCUUGAGGCUUUAGUGGCGCAGCUAACGCGAUAAGUAGACCGCCUGGGGAGUACGGUCGCAAGACUAAAAACUCAAAUGAAUUGACGGGGCCCGCACAAGCGGUGGAGCAUGUGGGUUUAAUUCGAUGCAACGCGAAAGAACCUUUACCUGGGCCUUGACAUUACAGAGAACUUUCCAGAGAUGG